rnacentral:rRNA from 1 species
GCGGCCUAUCAGCUUGUUGGUGAGGUAAUGGCUCACCAAGGCGACGACGGGUAGCCGGCCUGAGAGGGCGACCGGCCACACUGGGACUGAGACACGGCCCAGACUCCUACGGGAGGCAGCAGUGGGGAAUAUUGGGCAAUGGAGGGAACUCUGACCCAGCGACGCCGCGUGCGGGAUGAAGGCCUUCGGGUUGUAAACCGCUUUCAGCAAGGAAGAAGCGAAAGUGACGGUACUUGCAGAAGAAGCACCGGCUAACUAUGUGCCAGCAGCCGCGGUAAUACAUAGGGUGCAGGCGUUGUCCGGAAUUAUUGGGCGUAAAGAGCUCGUAGGUGGUUCGUCACGUCGGAUGUGAAAAUCUGGGGCUUAACCCCAGACCUGCAUUCGAUACGGGCGAGCUAGAGUGUGGUAGGGGAGACUGGAAUUCCU